AGAUUGAACGCUGGCGGCAUGCCUUACACAUGCAAGUCGAACGGCAGCACGGGAGCAAUCCUGGUGGCGAGUGGCGAACGGGUGAGUAAUACAUCGGAACGUGCCCAGUUGUGGGGGAUAGCCCGGCGAAAGCCGGAUUAAUACCGCAUACGACCUACGGGUGAAAGCGGGGGAUCGCAAGACCUCGCGCUAUUGGAGCGGCCGAGUGUCGGAUUAGCUUGGUUGGUAGGGGUAAAACGCCCAACCAAGGCUACGAUCCGUAGCUGGUCUGAGAGAACGACCAGCCACACGUGGACUGAGACACGGCCCAGACUACCGUACGGGAGCAGCAGGUGGGAAUUUGGACAAGUGGGCGACAAGCCUGACUCCAGCCAUGCCG
rnacentral:rRNA from 1 species